UCAUGCAUGCCUAGUAUGCUUAGAGUGGGUUCACAUUAUGCAUCGUCUUCUGGAACUGGAUACAUAUGGAUCUCCUCUGUGAUCACAAACAUACUGAAGCUGUUGUUUAUGUAACAGUCAUCCUGGAGGGAGUUAAUAAGAAUUCAGGUGAUAACAAUCACAGACAAAUAUUUGUUAGUAGACCUCGUUCCCUUCUAGUAGAUCCCAUAAUGUCAGCAUAUAACAUGACUUUUAGGAAUUAGAAAAUGUUUUAAAUAUUAUUGGUCAUGAAUUUCAACACCACAGUAAAAGAACAGUGCCAUGAAGAUGGAACAUUGAUCUAACAGUAGCUGUGAUAUCAUGAGGACAAAGGCUGCUGAUUCAUUGGCUCUUUGGUAUAUGACCAUACAUACAAGCUGUAGGUGUUUUUCUGAUUUGAUUGUUGUAGGUCUAUUAGCUUAGUUUUAAUUGAUUAUUGGCUGUUGUUUCAGAUGGCAAUUGUAAGUACUGCGAGCAUUAUUGACCACUGAUAAUGGAAAGAACAGAGGAGAAUAUUUUAAAUAAAGUUGCACGGACCUG